UACGCAGGGUGCGAGCGUUAAUCGGAAUUACUGGGCGUAAAGCGUGCGCAGGCGGUUCUGAAAGUCAGCUGUGAAAGCCCCGGGCUUAACCUGGGAAUUGCGGUUGAAACUACAGGGCUAGAAUCUGGCAGAGGGGGGUGGAAUUCCACGUGUAGCAGUGAAAUGCGUAGAGAUGUGGAGGAACACCGAUGGCGAAGGCAGCCCCCUGGGCUGAGAUUGACGCUCAGGCACGAAAGCGUGGGGAGCAAACAGG
rnacentral:rRNA from 1 species